rnacentral:rRNA from 1 species
AGAGUGAACGCUGGCGGCAGGCCUAAUACAUGCAAGUCGAACGGCAGCACGGCAGAGCUUGCUCUGUGGGUGGCGAGUGGCGGACGGGUGAGGAAUACAUGGGAAUCUGCCCAGUCGUGGGGGAUAACGUAGGGAAACUUACGCUAAUACCGCAUGCGCCCUUCGGGGGAAAGCCGGGGACCUUCGGGCCUGGCGCGAUUGGAUGAGCCCAUGUCGGAUUAGCUAGUGGCGGGUAACGCCACCAAGGCGACGAUCCGUAGCUGGUCUGAGAGGAUGAUCAGCCACACUGGAACUGAGACACGGUCCAGACUCCGUACGGGAGCAGCGAAGUAAGGGAAUAGUUGGAACAAGUGGGCCGACAAGACCUGAUCCAGCCAGUCGCCGCGU